GUGAAUCAUCGAAUUUUUGAACGCAAAUUGCGCUUCCUGGCAUCCCAGGAAGUAUGCCUGUUUGAGGGUCAUUAUUAAUAAAAAAUCGGGUUAGGUACAAAUUGUGACGGUUCCGGAGUUUGGGCUAUCUUAACAUUUUUGGUUAAGAGGCUUAAAAUUGACCUUUUUUGCGCGUUUUUAAACGUACAUAAAGCUUUUUUAUUAGUCUAGUCUUAAUGCCAAAAUCUUAUUAUAUGCAAUCACGUCGUGUGGCUUCGUUGCCAUAAAAUUUUCAUUA
rnacentral:misc_RNA from 1 species